ensembl:processed_transcript
AUGGUGCUAUUGACUUACUUUUCAGAUGUGAUGGUGAAGGAGGAGAGUGAAGAACUGAGUGAAGAUGAGGAGAAACAUCAUGUCAAGAGGGAAGAAGACACUCAAUCGGACACUGAACAUGAUGUUUCAGCGAACCAAACGGCUUCAAAUGCUUUGACCUGCGUUCAGUGUGGAAAGACUUUCGGGAGCAAGUACAAUCUCAAGAGUCACAUGAGGAUCCACACUGGAGAGAAACCGUACAAGUGCUCACACUGCGAGAAGAGAUUCAGUCAUUCAGGACAAAAGAAAUCACACGAGAGGAUGCACACCGGAGAGAGACCCUAUUACUGCACCGCUUGUGGGAAGAGUUUCGCUUAUUUAAAUUGUCUACAAAUACACACACAGAAAAUUCACGACCUGACUGUGAAGAGGAAGAAAAACCCAAGUGAAGGAUCGAGUGAAGCCAUGAAGGACCACAAUAGUGUUGAUGCAAAGAAGCCCAAUUCGUGCUCAUGGUGUGGAAAGAGUUUUACACUUCAACAAAAUCUAAGAAAGCACGAGAGAGUUCACACUGGAGAGAGACCCUACACGUGUUCACACUGCGACAAGAGAUUCAUCUACUUGGGAAAUAUGAAAAGACAUGAGAUGACUCACACCGGAGAGAAACCGUACCAGUGUUCACACUGCGAGAUGAGAUUUAGUCUGCUGAACAACAUGAAGAGACACGAGAUGAUCCACACUGGAGAGAAACCGUUCACAUGUACUCGGUGUCGGAAGAGUUUCAGACAGUCGUCCUCCCUUCAUCAACACAUGAAGAUCCACACUGGAGAUAGACCGUACAAGUGUGUUCAGUGCUGCAAAACGUUUUUUAAGGAUUCGCAGCUGAAGAAGCAUCUCAGGGUGCAUGCAAACGAGCAGCCGUACUCGUGCUUUGAGUGUGGAAAGAGUUUUGCGCAUCAACAACUUUUAACAAAACAUCAGAAGAUCCAUAAUAGUGUGAGAAAAUACGCGUGCUUCGCGUGCGAGAAGACUUUUAUUAAAGCUGGAGACUUGAAACGACACCACAGGAUCCACACCGGGGAGAAACCGUACAAGUGUUCACACUGCGACAAGAGAUUCAGCCAGUCAGGACAGCUGAAAUUACAUGACCGGAUCCACACCGGAGAGAAGACGCACAAUUGUGAUCAAUGCCGCGAGACUUUUUUGAGCGCUUCAGAGCUGAGGGAGCAUCUUAGUCUUCAUACAAAUGAAAAUGCUUAA